rnacentral:rRNA from 1 species
UACGAAGGGGGCUAGCGUUGUUCGGAAUUACUGGGCGUAAAGCGCACGUAGGCGGACUAUUAAGUCAGGGGUGAAAUCCCGGGGCUCAACCCCGGAACUGCCUUUGAUACUGGUAGUCUCGAGUCCGGAAGAGGUGAGUGGAAUUCCGAGUGUAGAGGUGAAAUUCGUAGAUAUUCGGAGGAACACCAGUGGCGAAGGCGGCUCACUGGUCCGGUACUGACGCUGAGGUGCGAUAGCGUGGGGAGCAAACAGG